CCGACGGUAUCCAUGGCGAUGGCGAUGUUUUCUAGUGGUAUGCCGAGUGGCCUGAGCUCAGCCAGUCUCUCUGAGUAGCUCUAGACGCCGGCUUUCGAUGCACCCCAACAUUGAUUUAUCUAAAGCUGUAAUAUCCGAUAUGCUGCGCCGGAACGCGAGGGAACGCCCUGAUAUGCGGUGGCGCUUCAUGAAUAUGACGAACAUGUAGAUAUCUGUUCUCUUCAGAAGAAGGCGGGUGGAUGAUUGUUGAAAGCUCAAAACCCGCUCGGCUAUUAUAAUGGUUCAAUUAGAUGAGACACAAUCUGGUGCCAACAUGGAUGCUAUUAUCCAGGUACUAUUUGCUUUGCCUUUGAUUUUACCGUUUAUGUAUGACCUGAUUUUACCGUCUAGUUAAAGUUUACAUGUCACUAUACACAUAAUGACGGUUUUAGAUCCUCUAGAUUUCUGAAAUAUUGUGAUUCAGAAAAAUGUUGUUGGUUUGGAAAUUUGAUGAGAAAUGUCAUUUUGUAUAAAGUGCA